rnacentral:ribozyme from 1 species
AAAGGAAAAAGUUUGAAGUCUUAAAUUUUGCAUAAAACGCACCACUGUUGUUUUGAAAACUAAUAAAAGAAACAAAAAAAUAUUUAAAAAAUAUUGGUUGCUUAACAAU